UAUGACCCUCGGCAAUGGAUAUCUUGGCUCUUGCAUCGAUGAAGUGCAUAGUGAAAUGCGAUAUGCAUUGUGAAUUUCAUAAUUGAACCAUCAAGUUCUUGAAUGCAAGUAGCGCUCAGGGCUAACUGGCUGAUUGCACAUUUUUCAGGGCAUUAUGG
rnacentral:rRNA from 1 species